GUUGUUGUUUAUGUAAGAAUUUCAAGGCCACAACUCCAUAUUUGAAGUAAAGUGCUCAUAAAAUUAAUUGCAAGACUUCUGAAGAGAGAUUUGCUAGGAAAAAUAAAAAGAUAUAUAAAUUUCAGUGAUGCUGAAGGUUUUGAGAAGCCAUCUGCAGCUCACAACUAGAUGAGUGACACAAUCAGAUGUGCGUAUGCAAAAAAAAGCCUGGAGACAUUGAACUAAGAUCAAAUUUAAUGUAUUAAAUAUGGUAGAAAGAAGAGAGAAUGAAAAAUAAUGUUAACAAUCUAGGUGAGGAAUUGCUGAGGAGACAAAUUAAGUAAAUCCUGUGGAAGGAAAGAAGAAAGGAGGAAAGAGGAUUGGAUGGAAGAAUCUCCACUUCUCAUAGGUGUAGUCCUUCCUUAGCCUGCUUUUUAAUGAGUGCUGCUAAAGCCCUUAGCCUGCCUGUUUACCCUUGGAGUGGAGCAAUGAACUGAAGAUAUUUGAGUGAGUUCAAGAGAGACUCAGAAGAGAAGAAUUGGAGGCAGCAAACAUAGACAGCACUUUUAAUGCUUUUCUCAUAUGCUGUAAGACAUGAAAGCAAUCUAUUGGGAUGAAAGCUGAAAGGAGAAGCGGGACAAGAGAAGUGAAUCCGUGGAAGACCCCCAAAAGAGGCUGCAGAUUCUUAGUGGACAGCUCUCAUAUCCCCUCCAGGGAAAAUGAUGAAAAAUGUCUUCAGAAAAAUAGCUUUAUGAAGGCAAGAGGACUUUUUGCACCUGCAAGACAUGUCUGAAAGCUCCUCAGGUCAAAACACAAGUAGUCAAGAGAUUUGUCCAUCUAAUUCAUCAUACUACUCUGAUCCAAGUGAGACCCACACUGGGUCAGCUCCAUCAAGGAGAAGAACAUUCCACCCACGUUUGGAUUCUGGAAUAUCAUCCUUGCUUCCAUCAGAUUCUUGUAAGUACCUCACUUGGCACAAGGUAGACAUGACGUUCAAGGAAGUCAACUGCGUUGCCCAAGAGUAAGAGAAGGAAUCUCUGAAGAAGAGCAACUUUUCAGACAGGUAGAGUGUGCCUUGCUCCCAAGGAAAAGAGUUCUUGAAAAAAACAAAUGGGAAACAUGGCUACAAGAAAACUGGGAAGACUGCAAGAAUUUGAACAUUUCAUUUCAGGGUUUGGGGGAUCCUUACCAAGUUGAAAAUUUUAACAGAAUUCUUAGAAGACUAAUUCGAGUUGAAACCCUCUGGUUAGUGGAUAAUUCACUGGUGGACUUAAGUGCCAUAAGAUUGCCAAGAGUAUUCUCCUGUUUGCCAAACUUAAAAAUGCUGGAUGGAAUCUUGAAGCUACCAGAAGAUUGCUUAUCACCAGAAACCAAUAUUUUUUCAAAAAUAUGCCUUGUAUCCUAAUGCAGUCUGUAUAGAAAGAAAGCAAUCAUCAUUGUUGCUAAAAGCUAAUAAACACAGGACAUGCAUGAUUAAA
ensembl:lncRNA LRRC77P leucine rich repeat containing 77, pseudogene